ensembl:snRNA U1 U1 spliceosomal RNA
AUACUUAGCGGGCAGGGGAGAUACCAUGAUCACGAAGGCGGUUUUCCCAGGGCGAGGCUUAUCCAUUGCACUCUGGAGGUGCCGCCGUCUGCGAUUUCCCCAAAUGUGGGAAACUCGACUGCAUGAUGUGUGGUACUGGGGACUGCGUUCGCGCUUUCCCCUG